rnacentral:rRNA from 1 species
CACUCCUACGGGAGGCAGCAGUGGGGAAUUUUGGACAAUGGGCGAAAGCCUGAUCCAGCCAUGCCGCGUGCAGGAUGAAGGCCUUCGGGUUGUAAACUGCUUUUGUACGGAACGAAACGGCCUUUUCUAAUAAAGAGGGCUAAUGACGGUACCGUAAGAAUAAGCACCGGCUAACUACGUGCCAGCAGCCGCGGUAAUACGUAGGGUGCAAGCGUUAAUCGGAAUUACUGGGCGUAAAGCGUGCGCAGGCGGUUAUGUAAGACAGUUGUGAAAUCCCCGGGCUCAACCUGGGAACUGCAUCUGUGACUGCAUAGCUAGAGUACGGUAGAGGGGGAUGGAAUUCCGCGUGUAGCAGUGAAAUGCGUAGAUAUGCGGAGGAACACCGAUGGCGAAGGCAAUCCCCUGGACCUGUACUGACGCUCAUGCACGAAAGCGUGGGGAGCAAACAGGAUUAGAAACCCUAGUAGUCCCAUGAU